rnacentral:lncRNA from 1 species
CUGUGCUACUAAAAAAUAACCUUUCAAUUUUCCCAAGUUGGUACAGACUUGAACUAUAACUUGACUGCAGACAUUUCUGGAAUUAUCAUGCCGCCUCAUUUUCUGUAAUUGGAUAAAUUGAAGGUCAUAACUUUGGCAAUCUACUAGUAGACGCGAUUAUUGGGGUCUAAGGCACUAUAUUUUGAAGCUAUCCUAGUAUGACAGGACAUUCGACAUUCAAAUGGUGCUCUUGUUGCUGUAAGAUAAUAUCCUUGGGUGGUAUGCUUCAACUAUCCCGAUCAUUAUAAAUGAUAGCUUGCUAACAAACAUCUUGACUAAUCUGCAGAUCCUUCUGGUAGCAGCUAAUGUGA